rnacentral:rRNA from 1 species
CGGUAUGCCUAACACAUGCAAGUCGUACGAGUAGUUUUUUAACUCUAGUGGCGGACGGGUGAGUAACACGUGAGAAUUUGCCUUUAGGAGGGGAUAACAAUUGGAAACGAAUGCUAACUACCCCAUAUGUCUUUUGAGUGAAAUGGAUUUAUAAUUAUCUGCCUAAAGAAAAGUUCGCGGCUGAUUAGCUUGUUGGUAAGGUAAGAGCUUACCAAGGCGACGAUCAGUAUCUGGUUUGAGAGGACGAUCAGACACACUGGAACUGAGACACGGUCCAGACUCCUACGGGAGGCAGCAGUGGGGAAUUUUCCGCAAUGGGCGAAAGCCUGACGGAGCAAUACCGCGUGAGGGAAGACUGCCUAUGGGUUGUAAACCUCUUUUUCAGGGAGGAAUAAAAUGACGUGUACCUGAAGAAUAAGCAUCGGCUAACUCCGUG